CGUGCUCGUGGGUUUCACCAAAGUGAUAAACGUCUGAGACCUGCAUCACUUCGGGCUUUCCUCCCAUUUUAAGCUGAUAUAACUGGAAUACUGUUAAAAGCGGUGUUAAACCCAACUCACUAACUACUACAAACAUGUACCAGAUUUGUCCUAGGAAUGGAAUAACACUUAUAUACAAUCUUCAUGAUAUAUAUACAAUGAGCAAUGAGCCAGCUGUUUUCUAUUAGUGUAACAACCUGUUUUUCUAGUUAUGGAAUACCGCUUAUAUACAAUCUUCAUCAUAUCUAUAUAUAUAUAUGAAAUGAGCCAGCUAUUUUGAAUCUGUAUUAAUUCCUGUGUCGCACCGAUUCUCUCCCAGUAGUCUUAGACCAUUCCAAGAAGGUACUUGUUAAACGGGUAUCUCAGCAGAUCUCAGUCCUCUAUAUGUUCAUCUUAGAGAUUGACAACGUCACAUAGGAAAUUUACUGCAAUAUUUCUACGAUUCCAUAUUUUUGCUGUCAGACAAAUUUCUAAAUGAAUCUAGUCGAAUUUCCCCAAUAUUUCAGCAGUUAAGGUCGUCCAUUAGUAUUACAGACACUGAGACAAGGAUUUAAAGAAUCUUUUCGCAUCACACAUUCCGCCAUGAGGAUUUGUUACCUUAUCAUUUUGUUAUAGAGUCGUAUCAUGUACAUGACUAUUUUGUCACAUUGCGAGGUCAUAGGUUUGACUUCUGUUUAUUGUGUCUCCGUCCCGAGCUGGUCUAUAUCGGCCAUGUGUAUCAUUUCGUACAUGCUUCAUUUAAUUUACAUCAAGUUGCAGACUCAGCAUAUUUUGUUGUACGUCUUAGUCACUAGGAUUUUGUUCGUUGCCAUGGUUACCACCCACGGUCAAGAUGUGUGUAUACAGAUGAGUAGAUUUUUUUAUCUUUUACUUUUUUUCUAGUUUUAUAGACUUCAUAAUUUAUUUGUAGAUUCUUUCCGAGAUGAGAGUUCUGACGAUGUUUUAGUAGAAACUGUUGGCAGAAAGUGUCCUCUUCAAACGUAUACAUCUAGUCAAGGUGAUAUAUUUACGAUAACUUUCUGUGAAUCUGUGGAGAUCUGAAAAUUUGGAGACGUCCUUGAUAAGAGUGGCUUAUUGUGUGGAAUAAUGGCAUAUUGUGGUGAAGAAUUGAAGCGUAAAUAGAGAAAAGAGGCUGAUCACAGGUAGAGAUUAAGGCUUAUAGUGGGGAACAUGAAGCUUUUGGUAGAGAAUAAAGGCUUACAGUGGGGAAUAGGGCUUAUCGUGGGGAAUAUGAGGCAUAGGUAGAGAAUAAAGGCUUAUAGCGGGGAAUAGGGCUUAUCGUGGGGAAUAUGAAGCAUAGGUAGAGAAUAAAGGCUUAUAGUGGGGAAUAGGGCUUAUCGGUGGGGAAUAUGAGGCAUAGGUAGAGAAUAAAGGCUUAUAGUGGGGAAUACGAGGUAUCAGUGGGGAAUAUGAAGCUUUUGGUAGAGAAUAAAGGCUUGUGGGGAAUAUGAGGUAUCGGUGGGAAAUAUGAAGCUUAUGGUAGAGAAUAAAGCUUAUAGUGGGGAAUAUGAGGUAUCGGUGGGGAAUAUGAGGUAUCGGUGGGGAAUAUGAAGCUUAUGGUAGAGAAUAAAGGCUUAUGGUUGGGAAUAUGAGGUAUCGGUGGGGAAUAUGAAGCUUUUGGUAGAGAAUAAAGGCUUAUGGUGGGGAAUAUGAGGUAUCGGUGGGGAAUAUGAGGUAUCGGUGGGGAAUACGAGGUAUCGGUGGGGAAUAUGAAGCUUUUGGUAGAGAAUAAAGGCUUAUGGUGGGGAAUAUGAGGUAUCGGUGGGGAAUAUGAAGCUUAUGGUAGAGAAUAAAGGCUUAUGGUGGGGAAUAUGAAGCUUAUGGUAGAAAAUAAAGGCUUAUGGUGGGGAAUAUGAAGCAUAGGUAGAGAAUAAAGGCUUAUGGUGGGGAAUAUGAAGCAUAGGUAGAGAAUAAAGGCUUAUGGUGGGGAAUAUAGAGCUCAAGUAAUGGCUAAAACUGCCUCCAAGUAAGAGAUACAAGGAGUAUAUCUAAGUGUAAAGUGUUGUGUAUUGUCAUGAGAACAUUCAGCAUUAUGUUUGUACCGCUCUCCCCGGUGUUGCUGGCAGUGUUCCCAAUGUCUGCUCAAUCACUGGGCCCUACCUGCUUCCUGUACUUAUUUGGAAGAAAAAUAUGACAAAUUGAUUUGAUUUGUAUUGUUGCAAAGAUCAUGUUUUUCUCAAAGUUCUUGUUAAUUGAAUUCAAAUUUCAUGUUUUUUCUGAAAUGUUAUUGGAGUCUUGUUUUUUGAAAGAACAUUUCAUGUUUUUUAAACGCAAUUAUUGGACAAUCAAUUUCAUGCAAAAAUUGUUUCAAUUUUCAUUCAGAUAUUGUCAUAUUUUUUUCAGUUUUCAUACAAAUAUAUGUUCAUUCUGCAAGGUUGACUCAAGAAUAUUUUGCCCUUAACGCCCAUGUUUUGAUGCUAGCGGUCACUGCCGAGAUCAGCCCACCCGUUUCAAGUGUCCGAGUCACUGCCUGUGUGUCCACCACUGUGUAUGACCCUCUCAAUGUGCGCUGUAAUGCAAUUAGCUGUUCACUCGUGUACAAACUGCCUAUUUAUGUCCAUAUAUCCCAUGUCUGUGUGUCUACAGUCUUCACUACGCAUGAAGCAUUAUGUGAUUAUCUGCCGCUUCAGUCGGCCGUGGCAAAAUGUCAAAAUAAAUACAAAUUGCAAAGUA